rnacentral:lncRNA from 1 species
UAGCUGGCUAUUGACCUCUUCUCUGCAUGAUGGAAUUUUUUUAGCUUAAUGGAGUUCUUCUUUAUUAUCAUGGCCUCCUAUUUUAUUGGACUAUGAAGCCCCUGUUUAAAAGUAAGUGCACUCAAAAUACAGGCAUAGGAUGAAGACAUAAUGGUAACCAAAUAGCACCCACCAUUAAUUGAUGUUUAAAACGAAUUAAUGAUAUCAAAAUAAAGUGGAAUUUUUUUUAAGAAAAAUGGUACACUUAUGUUCCUGCAAGACUUUGUUGGUGUGCAAGGAGAUAAUCCAUAUGGACUCAGGUCGGACGCCGCAGG